AUUUUUGCUUUAAUAAAUUAAACAUUUGGAAUACAUGAACUUGAUGAAUGGAGAGUAUAUUGGUAAGAAUGAUUUGGACCCACGUUUUGUGUUCAAUUUGGUUCCUUCUCUUCUCUGCUUUGGUUGUUAGCGAGUCGGUUUUCCUGCCAAAGUCUUUUUCUUUUCUUCCAUUUUUCAUUUGCUUUAAACACUGUAAUUCCUGUUCAAUCUCUUUCAAUGUAUACUGUUUCUGAUUAUGCUUUUCCCCUAAAUACAGAUAUUUAAUGUCUGGUUUUCAAAAACAUGAAGCCAUUUUGAUUGAUCAUAUUGAUUAAGAGUGAAGGCCAUUAUUUCUUCAGAGACCAAACAAUGGUUCUUGGCCUAAGAACUAAGAACAGAAAAGGCGACUCAUAUCAGGUUUAUUACAUUGUAUGUGUAAAGGAAAUUAAUCCUUGGACACCAUUGCAGUCUUUGACAGCGGCUCAAUCUUUAUUGCUUCAAUGGGAAAAUAGUGAUAAGAGUUCUGGGUCCUUUGUUUCUAGUCUUUCAGGCUUCAAGUAACUUUAUCUCUAAGAGCACCAACCGUGAUGGUAGCCAGAAGAAUUGUUUAGAGUUCUACUUGUAUGAGCCUCGAAAGGACAAGGUGGCAAAGGGUCAACUUUUAGGAUCUGCUGUUGUAAACCUUGCAGAUUAUGGGACUAUCAGGGAAACUAUAAGCAUUAGCACUCCUAUUAACUUGAAGAAGAGUUCAAGGAACAUAGAACAGCCCGUUCUUUAUCUUAAUAUCCAGCCAUUUGAUAAAGAUAUUUGACAGCUAUGCUUGACAAGCUAAAGUUAGCUACCUGGAUGAUGGCUUUCCCCAUGAAAGGGAAGAUGACAUUUCUUGGAAAUACUGGCCACACAAAAUAGAUGGUACUUCUGGAGAUUUUUUGGAUUAUGAAAAUGGUGAGAUGCCAGAUAAUGCUUUUGAAGGGCAUCACAUGCUGAGGAAAAGGUUAGCAAUCAACAGUGAAUAUUUCCUUUUCUUUUUGAUGAAUUCAUUACAUCAAUGCAGGGAUGUCAAAGCAACAAAAUUGAAUAGUUUGGGUGCUAUUUCUCAUUCAAUUUAUGGAAUAGUUUAGCUCAACACUUUUUUUUUAAUAUUAACAGGACAAAUUAGUUUACAA